UGGAUUCAAAAAAGCAAUAAUUUCCAUGCAAAUACUUUGUAUUUUCCAUAGAUUUCCAUCAUAUUAAAGAGGAUACGGCGAAAAAUCUCCACUGCAAGCACUGGUUUGGCAAAACAUUUGGGACAUUGCAGCACUGAGAACAUUAAGCCACAGACAGAGUACUCUGUCUAGGAGAGAAGAAAACUCUUCAGAUACAGCCUGGGUUGUGAUAGACUGCAAGAAACCAAACAUGACCCUCUCCAUUAGAUAACCCAGCAGUACAGACCGAGUGACUUCCCCAAUAGCCAGAAACUGACCAGUUUAGCAAGUGUAGAAAAGAGAUGUGAAGUGUUGCUGCCUGUUCCCCGCUGUAGCGUGGCAGCAGUAAAGCACUGGUGGUAAGUACUGAGCAGUAAUCUGGAGGUGAAAGAAACGCACACCUGUUUAGGCGAGGUGCUGGCUGGUGGAGUAGAACACCUGUUUAGGCGAGGUGCUGGCUAGCGGAGUAGAACACCUGUUUAGGCGAGGUGCUGGCUGGCGGAGUAGAACACCUGUUUAGGCGAGGUGCUGGCUGGCGGAGUAGAACACCUGUUUAGGCGAGGUGCUGGCUGGCGGAGUAGAACACCUGUUUAGGCGAGGUGCUGGCUGGCAGAGUAGAACACCUGUUUAGGCGAGGUGCUGGCUGGCGGAAUAGA